AAACUACAUUUCUGUUCAAAGUUUGAUCCAUUGAGUUCAACUAUCUUUUGUUGAAUUUGUUCAUACCUUUUUAAUAGAUAAUGUUCAAAAGCUAUGAAUUUUAAGAAUAAGAACCAAUUUAGAUAUGUUACAAGUACUCAGUUUUACCAGAUAUCUAUGACUUUUGAGAACCAAUUAACAUACAUUUUUCUUCUAUUAUUGUAAUCGUAAGUCGAAUGAUCAAAUGAUAAACGAACACAAGAAAUACAAUAGAUAUGUCUUUGCUAGCAAAUGCAAAUCGGAGACGCCUGGUGUUUUGAUGGACCAGGGACCGCGAUGAUCCCCAAUGGUAGCUGUGACUUGCGAUUAGCUGUGACUUAGCGAUUUAGAGUAUCUAUGAAGAUGUUAAUGUAUAACGUUUUCUUGACCGGAUUAAGUGUUGCAUUGAGCUUUGUUUUUGAAACAAAUAUAUGUUUAAUGAUCUUAAGCCACAUAUAA
rnacentral:lncRNA from 1 species